GCCAAAGCAGAGCACCAGAGUCAGACAGUGAGGACGCAUGGUGAGCCCCGUUCACACACACAUCACACACACACUCGCAAACCCGGGAUGAAGACCGAAAUGUCUUUUUCUUGGCUCGUCUCUGCAAUAUGCCUGGAAAGAAUCAACUAGUGCACAAAAGAAGCCCAAUUCAUGUGUUCUGGCACAGAUAUGAGGUAAUGUGCGCCACACACACCUGUGUGUGUGUUUGUAUAUGUGGCUGUGAAUGGGUUCAGAAAGCUGUUUGCUGAGGAGACCACAGCCGUCCUGGUGUUUGAAGGAGCUGUUGCAAGCAAAUUCUGGCAGCGAUUGAGUUCAGAUCCAUCACCCACUGAUGUCCCUCUUGCUCUCCUUCGGCCCUGCGCUCACAAACACACUGACAGGCUUCUCAGCGCACUCACUACAUGAGGAGAGAACUUUCUCUGUCAUAUGAGGAGGAGAGAGCAGAGUGGGCGGCGAAACCCAGGAAACUAGCAGGGGAGAGAGAGAGAGAGAGACUCUGCGUCUCUGGCAUUGCACACGGGGGUGAGGUCAGUGCCGUUUAAUGUGUGUGGGUCAGUUGCUUGUAGAUGAAGGGAGGGGUUUAUUUUUCUCUGCAUUUUCAACGCGGUCAUUUGGCGAGCUUUCGCUGUUCCCCUGCAGCGCGCGUUGAACGUUUACGAAUAGUUCAGCAUGAAUAAAUCAUUUAGUCACCUUUGAGACUUUGCUUCUUCUGUGGAACACAAAAGGAGAAAUUCGGAAGAAUGUUCACGUUGCUCUUUUCCAGAAACUGAUUGUGGACAAAAUGACAAAAAACCACCAUAACAUAUUAUAAAGGACUAUAAUUCAAGUCAUAUGACAGCUUUGUUUGAAGUACAGACCAGUGUUUUGGCCUCUACUAUUACUCUAGAGUGGAAUGGAACGGUUCUAUGCAUGUUUCUUGGAACGCUCUUCAAAAUAAAAGUUCUUUAUUUGCA